rnacentral:lncRNA from 1 species
CUCGGGAGGCCGCCGUCGCUGCCGUGUGCCAGGACGCGUCUUGUCCUUUAACGGCGCACACGGCGGCGUAGGAACGCCGUCACGGGCAGGGUGGGCGGCUGAGAGGAAGCCUCGCCCACGGCUUUGCAUGCGAGGAGGAGCCGUGCAACGGCAGUGGCGAGCGGGGCUGCGCGCGUUUGAAGAGCAGUUGAUGCCACAAAGGAAUGCGGCGUGCGGAGCGUGCUUUGGGCUUUGCGAGCACCUGAUACAAUUUGCUGGAAAAUUGAAUUUGGGGGCACAGUGAAAAUCAAAUCAGGGACAGAAAAGUGAUAAGAAUGCUGAGCAAGGGCUUGUCCUAGGAAUCACAGAUGAAGACUGAUUUUGCAGCUGUGGGAAUGGCAGAGCGCUCCCAGCUGCCUGGAAACCGAAAUCAAGAGAUGUGGAGGUACUGGAAGGCACAAAUACCCAGCGGUUGUCCUUGGUUUCUUUCCUGGAAAUCAGGAGUCCACGCUGAGGAAAUUAGUGCACUUUCCUGGUCCUUUCACAUAGCUCAGACCUUGCUGUACGUUACCCCAAGGCUGGCCCCCAGUCCGUGUGUGGAAGGUGCUUCCGAUGAACAUGUGUGAUGGCACUGCCUGGUGCCCAUCCCUACAGCAGCCCUAUGGACCGCAAGGCACGGCAGGUUCAGGUUCAUCACAGCGCCAUUUGUCACAUUUGGCAUUCUCUCUUUGUGAAAAUGUCAGUUAUUGGGAAAGGGGCAGUGUUGGCAGGGGCUGUUGAUUAGCAACAGACCACACAGCUAGAUAUGUUCCCGUGGCACUGCUGUUUGCAGCCGCUCACAUAUGCGGGAGUGCUGUGAGUGCUUCAUAAAAAAACAGUGAAGAGAAAUGGAAGUGGAAAUGGGGAGAUGAGAAGUUUGUAGAAGUGACUCAUUGUGACAACUGCAUGCGAAGGUGAAAGAUACUCAACACCUUAGCCAAGAAAAGAGCUCAAAUCUGCUUGACGUAAACUUCAGUGUGGAUAUUUUGAUAUUAAAAGAUUAGGUAUGAGUUUGACAGAGAGCUGUUCUUCUUUGGAGUGUUAAUUCUGUCUUCAUUAGUGAAUUUAUGCAUAAAAGAAAGAAAACACGAACAGCACCAAUGUGAUCAUUCACCCAAGAGAUGUCCAUCCUGAAUCAAAGCAAACUGUGGCAGGUAAAAUCCAGCCUUUCAUUUCUGUUGGAAUGCAGCUGGCCAACCUCCCUUACCCUCCGAGCCACCUUAGAGGGUAAAGGGGCUAUGAACUUUGCAGAGAUUCACAAGUGGCACCCAACAUCCCACCAGUCUGCUGCAAGCACAAUGCUUUUAUUUUGAGACGAAGAGAUGAAGUCUGGGAAUCUACUGCGUGCCAAAGUCUUCCUGGAGAAUAUGGAGCUCCCUCAAAAUUGAGCUGGUGUGAAACUGCUCUGAGCCUACAAGUGCCUGCAAUACGACAAGUGCCUGCUGUACCACCACUCUCAUCUCUGAAACCAGUUUCUUCAUCGCCCCACAAUCGAUACAGAUGUUGCUGUAGUCAGGCAACAGAAUGCCAAUGCAGCACCCUGGGAACAGAGGAGCAGUUGUUUUCACCACAGCUUUCCCAUUUGGUUUAGCUCUGUCAGGCAAGGAAAGCACCUGCCUCUUUCCAACAAGAACUUAUUCAGCUUGAGCAUCUCCAUAUGAAACAAUUAAUGGAACAGAAAGGCAGUGAGAAGAAAUCCACCAAGGACUUCUGAGAAGUGAAGCUGCAGUCCUGCAAGGUGUGCCUAUUAAUGCCACAGGAGAGGGGCAAUAAUUAAAAAUGUGUUUUUCAGGACCACCGGCUGAACUAACAUGAACAGAGAUGCACAUGUGGUAAAGCAUCCUUCCUCCCACUCCAUCAGGCUGUACAUCAGUUAAGAUUUAUCACUGCUGAUGACAGAUACCUGACCUCACAUAACUCUUUAAGCACAGAGUUUUGUUGUAACAGUUGUAGUUAAAUAAAGUGUUAUUUCUCUUAAGCCUUAAAUAAAAGAACAGUGGAAAACAGUGGGAAGAAAUAAGCUUCACCCCUCAUACUGACCUGUUCAAGCGACUUGCCAGCCCACCCAAUGGCCUUCAUCUUUCUCCUUAUCUCCCAUUGCUUCUGAUAGGACAAAAUGCGGUUAAGAGGCCAGGGGUAAGGGGAGCCAUACCUCGGGUGAGUAAUCUUUGGUAAGAAACAGAAAGUGACUUUGUUAUCAUAUAAACAAUGCAGACAGCUCUAUUUACAAAACAGCUAGUAGUCUCAUCUUUCUAUCACUGAGAGCAAUAAAGAGAAAGAAUGUUGUGUGAUAUGCUGCAAUUAUUUGUGCAGAAUUUAUUGUUUUCAGUAGAACCAUUUAAAAUUACUACCUUGGAAACAUAUGCAAAACUCCUAUUUGUUCCACAGUCACAUACCUCCAGUCAAGUUACAACUUCCCUAAAAUGUAUAUGCAAGCAGAAUGCAAGUGAAAAGACUGUAUCAUUAAUGGUACAGAGCUCAAUGUUUCAUUUAUGAGUAGGGACUUCCAUUUGUGAGCAAAAGUGUUUUCUCAUUAAAUUUUAAUUAAGAUAAAUGUUGCAGAACCACUCACCUCCUCUACUGUAACAUCAUCACACCAUUGCAGAUAGAGCUAGGAACAGAAAGAACACUUACUACAACUUCCUAAUAAACGAGAAUACAGAUACAAUCAUUUCUCACUAGUAGAAUUUUCC